AAGAUUCUGGAUUUUAGAAUGAGAACAUUGCUUCUUGCAAUAACCAUUAGGUUUCACCUAGAAGACUCAAAGACUUCAAUUGGAAGAGAAGCCUGAUCCCAGUUCUAGCUCUGUAGGUCUACAGUGAGAGUUAUAUUUCCUCUGCAGCAGUUCAUUCCAGUGUAAGGUUUGCCUGAAAACAUUCUUCCUUUAACCAGGGCUGGGCCAUACAUGUGGUUUCUGCUCACUCUGACAGGAGAAAGCAAACAGCCCAGACUUGAUUGGGUCCGAACAUGGCCACCCUCUGUGACUCUGCUGUAUUUCAUAAGGCAAAAAGUAUAUGAGUUCUGCCUUUCUAGAAAUCAUCUUUAUAUGUACUUUUCUAUUCAGUCAUGGAUUAUAAAUAGAUUCUCUGAUUAGUUUCCCAAGUGAAAAGUAUAUAGAAAAGAACAGGAUUUACUUCUGAAUGUGAAAGUACAUUAUUUUAUUCUAACAACUAAAUCAGUAGAGCAGCAAGUUAUCCCUAGGAGAUCAGAAGGACAGCAAAUUCCUAAAUAAUAAGGUCAUGUAGUAAAAAUGGAAGUAUGAGGACAAAAUAGUGGUCUCAUGCACAUUAUCUUAUUUCAGAUGCCCAACACCCAGAUGUGGCAGAAAUAGAAGUUGUCCCGAACAUUCUCUACAAAUGUUACUUCAGAAGCCAGCAAAUAAAAUGACUUUCAGGAACCAAAGCUUGGCAAAUAGAUGGACGGGAAGAAACAGCGUCAAGUCACUGUUAGCACAAAAUUGCAUCUCUACAUUGGCAUGGAGCUGGUAAUUGACAGACAGUAUAGCGGGAGUUACUCUUCAGCUCUGUCAUCUGCAAAAUGGGAAUGGUAGUACUUACCCCGCUCGCCUCACCAGGCUGCUGUGACAACUGACUGUGAUAACAAGAAAAAACCUCCAUCUUCAUCCCCAGAGCUUGAUAUCAAAACAACUAAGCCAGAAAGAAGACCUUUGGUCCUUACCUGAUGGGACACUCAUUAUAACAGGAGAAAUAAUAAUGUCUUUUACAAAGCUACAGACACAGCUUAUUUGUGAUAAGAAAACAGUUUUGUUUUUUAGUUUUUUUAUUGGCAUUAAUUUACUCAGAAUAUCUACUAAGUGCACUAAUAACUUCAUAAUAUUAAAAAAGGUAAAAUUCAGAAUUGAAUAAAAAUGGAAGGGUGAAAUGUGCUUGAUCACUCAGUUAAACCAUGAAAGUCUUAUAUGUGUACUGUGAGUUUAAAGCAAUAGUCUCAAAAGCAUGAAACCACCUAGCUAACUUCCAUACACCUUUAUUCUUGGUUGUAUUGAGUUUGUUAAUUGUCUCUCUGGAUUUUUUCACAGCUAAAAUGGUCUUCCUAAACACAACAACAAAAACUAUUUGAAAAAUAAUGUUUAACAUUUCUCUCAGUGAUAUCAUUAUGGUCAAACUAUUGCAAAUGAAAUUUAAUAUUUUAAUUAUAUAAUAAGCACUGAUUUAGGUAUGGGGUUAUAUUAUUAUAAGCAAUAAAUUGUGACUGAUAGAUAUAUAGAUAAUAUGUUCUAGGCCUUUCAAACUUUGUAUCAUGACCCAUGAGUGGCUAGAAGCUUUAUUUGUAUAGAAUACGACCGAAUAAAUACAUCAGAGUUACU